rnacentral:rRNA from 2 species
CUAAGAAUCUUCCGCAAUGGGCGAAAGCCUGACGGAGCGACGCCGCGUGAACGAUGAAGGCCGUGAGGUUGUAAAGUUCUUUUCGGGAGGGAGAACAACCGUGGCAGGGAAUGGCCGCGGGAUGACGUGAAUCCCGGAAUAAGCCCCGGCUAACUACGUGCCAGCAGCCGCGGUAACACGUAGGGGGCGAGCGUUGUUCGGAAUCAUUGGGCGUAAAGGGCGUGCAGGCGGCCCUGCAAGUCCGGCGUGAAAGACCCCGGCCCAACCGGGGGGACGCGCUGGAAACUGCAGGGCUUGAAUACAGGAGGGGAUGCCGGAAUUCCAGGUGUAGGGGUGAAAUCUGUAGAUAUCUGGAAGAACACCAAUGGCGAAGGCAGGCAUCUGGCCAUGUAUUGACGCUGAGACGCGAAGGUGCGGGGAGCAAACAGG